rnacentral:rRNA from 1 species
GAUGAACGCUGGCGGCGUGCCUAAUACAUGCAAGUCGAGCGAACGGACGAGAAGCUUGCUUUUCUGAUGUUAGCGGCGGACGGGUGAGUAACACGUGGAUAACCUACCUAUAAGACUGGGAUAACUUCGGGAAACCGGAGCUAAUACCGGAUAAUAUUUUGAACCGCAUGGUUCAAAAGUGAAAGACGGUCUUGCUGUCACUUAUAGAUGGAUCCGCGCUGCAUUAGCUAGUUGGUAAGGUAACGGCUUACCAAGGCAACGAUGCAUAGCCGACCUGAGAGGGUGAUCGGCCCCCCUGGAACUGAGACACGGUCCAGACUCCUACGGGAGGCAGCAGUAGGGAAUCUUCCGCAAUGGGCGAAAGCCUGACGGAGCAACGCCGCGUGAGUGAUGAAGGUCUUCGGAUCGUAAAACUCUGUUAUUAGGGAAGAACAUAUGUGUAAGUAACUGUGCACAUCUUGACGGUACCUAAUCAGAAAGCCACGGCUAACUACGUG